rnacentral:rRNA from 1 species
GUGUAUUAGAUACCCUGGUAGUCCACGCCCUAAACGAUGUCGACUGGUUGUUGGGGGUUUGACACUCUCAGUAACGAAGCUAACGCGUGAAGUCGACCGCCUGGGGAGUACGGCCGCAAGGUUAAAACUCAAAGGAAUUGACGGGGACCCGCACAAGCGGUGGAUUAUGUGGAUUAAUUCGAUGCAACGCGAAAAACCUUACCUACCCUUGACAUGUCCGGAAGCCUGCUGAAAGGCGGGGGUGCCCGAAAGGGAACCGGAACACAGGUGCUGCACGGUUGUCGUCAGCU